GACGAACCGUGCGAACGUUGUUCGGAAUCACUGGGCUUAAAGGGCGCGUAGGCGGGCUGCCAAGUCCGGGGUGAAAUCCUCCAGCUCAACUGGAGAACGGCCUCGGAUACUGGAAGUCUCGAGGGAGAUAGGGGCACGCGGAACCGUGGGUGGAGCGGUGAAAUGCGUUGAUAUCCAUGGGAACUCCGGUGGCGAAGGCGGCGUGCUGGAUCUCUUCUGACGCUGAGGCGCGAAAGCCAGGGGAUCAAACGGG
rnacentral:rRNA from 2 species